rnacentral:rRNA from 1 species
UACGUAGGGUGCAAGCGUUGUCCGGAAUUAUUGGGCGUAAAGAGCUCGUAGGCGGUCUGUCGCGUCUGCUGUGAAAACUCGGGGCUUAACCCCGGGCCUGCAGUGGAUACGGGCGGGCUGGAGUUCGGUAGGGGAGACUGGAAUUCCUGGUGUAGCGGUGAAAUGCGCAGAUAUCAGGAGGAACACCGGUGGCGAAGGCGGGUCUCUGGGCCGAUACUGACGCUGAGGAGCGAAAGCGUGGGGAGCGAACAGG